rfam:Nocardia asteroides NBRC 15531 DNA, contig: NCAST39.
GGAUGGGUAGGGGAGCGUCCUGUGGCCGUGGAAGCAGCGGAGUGAUCCAGCUGUGGAGGCCACGGGAGUGAGAAUGCAGGCAUGAGUAGCGAAAGACGAGUGAGAAACUCGUCCGCCGAAUGACCAAGGGUUCCUGGGCCAGGUUAAUCCGCCCAGGGUGAGUCGGGACCUAAGGCGAGGCCGACAGGCGUAGUCGAUGGACAACGGGUUGAUAUUCCCGUACCCGUGUAUCCGCGCCCAAUGGCGAAUCAGUUGUGCUAAUCGUCCAAAUGUUUUCUUAUCGAGCCUUCGGGUGAGAGGGAGAAUUGCUGCACGAGACCCUGGCUGUAGUAGUCAAGCGAUGGGGUGACGCAGGAAGGUAGCUGGGCCAGGUGAUGGAAUACCUGGUGUAAGCCUGUAGGGCGUUGUGUAGGCAAAUCCGCACAACAUGUAGCCUGAGAGGUGAUGCGUAGCCGUUGUGGUGAAUUCAGUGAUCCUAUGCUGCCGAGAAAAGCCUCUAGUGAGUUGGUACACGGCCCGUACCCCAAACCGACACAGGUGGUCAGGUAGAGAAUACUAAGGCGAUCGAGAGAACUGUGGUUAAGGAACUCGGCAAAAUGCCCCCGUAACUUCGGGAGAAGGGGGACCACGCCUGGUGACGAGUCUUGCACUCUGAGCUGGGUGGGGUCGCAGAGACCAGAGAGAAGCGACUGUUUACUAAAAACACAGGUCCGUGCGAAGUCGUAAGACGAUGUAUACGGACUGACGCCUGCCCGGUGCCGGAAGGUUAAGAGGACCGGUUAGCGCUUCGGCGCGAAGCUGAGAAUUUAAGCCCCGGUAAACGGCGGUGGUAACUAUAACCAUCCUAAGGUAGCGAAAUUCCUUGUCGGGUAAGUUCCGACCUGCACGAAUGGCGUAACGACUUCUCUGCUGUCUCAACCACAGACUCGGCGAAAUUGCAUUACGAGUAAAGAUGCUCGUUACGCGCGGCAGGACGAAAAGACCCCGGGACCUUCACUAUAGCUUGGUAUUGGUGUUCGGUACGGUUUGUGUAGGAUAGGUGGGAGACUGUGAAGCUUGGACGCCAGUUCAGGUGGAGUCGUCGUUGAAAUACCACUCUGAUCGUAUUGGACUUCUAACCUCGGACCAUGAUCUGGUUCAGGGACAGUGCCUGGUGGGUAGUUUAACUGGGGCGGUUGCCUCCCAAAAUGUAACGGAGGCGCCCAAAGGUUCCCUCAGCCUGGUUGGCAAUCAGGUGUCGAGUGCAAGUGCACAAGGGAGCUUGACUGUGAGAGUGACAGCUCGAGCAGGGACGAAAGUCGGGACUAGUGAUCCGGCACCGGCAAGUGGAAGCGGUGUCGCUCAACGGAUAAAAGGUACCCCGGGGAUAACAGGCUGAUCUUCCCCAAGAGUCCAUAUCGACGGGAUGGUUUGGCACCUCGAUGUCGGCUCGUCGCAUCCUGGGGCUGGAGUAGGUCCCAAGGGUUGGGCUGUUCGCCCAUUAAAGCGGCACGCGAGCUGGGUUUAGAACGUCGUGAGACAGUUCGGUCUCUAUCCGCCGCGCGCGUUAGAAACUUGAGGAAGGCUGUCCCUAGUACGAGAGGACCGGGACGGACGAACCUCUGGUGUGCCAGUUGUUCCGCCAGGAGCACUGCUGGUUGGCUACGUUCGGAAGGGAUAACCGCUGAAAGCAUCUAAGCGGGAAGCCUGUUCCAAGAUGAGGUUUCUCUCCCACUUGAUGGGUUAAGGCCCCCUACAGACCAUGGGGUUGAUAGGCCGGAACUGGAAGCACAGUAAUGUGUGUAGGUGACUGGUACUAAUAGGCCGAGGGCUUA